rnacentral:rRNA from 1 species
GAUGAACGCUGGCGGCGUGCCUAAUACAUGCAAGUCGAGCGAACAGACGAGGAGCUUGCUCGUCUGACGUUAGCGGCGGACGGGUGAGUAACACGUGGAUAACCUACCUAUAAGACUGGGAUAACUUCGGGAAACCGGCGCUAAUACCGGAUAAUAUAUUGAAUCGCAUGGUUCAAUAGUGAAAGUCGGUUUUUGUGUCACUUAUAGAUGGAUCCGCGCCGCAUUAGCUAGUUGGUAAGGUAACGGCUUACCAAGGCGUCGAUGCGUAGCCGACCUCAGAGGGUGGUCGGCCACCCUGGAACUGAGACACGGUCCAGACUCCUGCGGGAGGCAGCAGUAGGGAAUCUUCCGCAAUGGGCGAAAGCCUGACGGAGCGACGCCGCGUGAGUGAUGAAGGUCUUCGGAUCGUAAAACUCUGUUAUUAGGGAAGAACAAAUGUGUAAGUAACUAUGCACGUCUUGACGGUACCUAAUCAAGAAGCCACGGCUAACUACGUG